CGCAACCAAAGGGAUAAACAAAGACAGACAAUAAACGCGAAGAGUGAUAAAGACGACGAUCCAGAAGGCCGUGCAAAAACGAAGAUCGGAGGCGCUGCCAAUCGUCGACUGCAUCCGCCGCACCCCAUCGUCGCCGCUGACAGCCACCGCCAUCAGCCCAUCAUCAUCGUCUCUUGAAGCAGCCAGCAGAGAGAGAGACGAUGAUCGCCUCCAAUGCUCUGCCUGCCGUCGUCAACCCGCCUGCCGCCAUUGACUACAUCAACGAGCACCGCCGACGGCUGUUCUCCGUAGCCGCCGAGCCGAACAGACGGCGGCUCACUGCCACUCUCUGAGACCCAGCCUCUCUGCCUUCUCCCUGCCAUCGCAGCCGAGCCAAAGGUCGGAGCCGCCACCGUUAUCGCCGUCGUAUCCCUACACCGGAACGUGGCCAAUCGAGGCCCUCACCUUCGAUCGGCUAACAACGGCGCCACUACUCCAGUGGCGAGAGAUUAUCCAGAAAAAGUGCAUGGAGCUCACUCGGACACGUGCGCUUAAUAAUUGUGUUAUGGAUAUCUCGCCUAGUUUACUGUUUUGAUGGUUUCUAAAUUUUUGCAUUCCGUCCGUCAAAGCAACCCAGGCAGAGUGAAAAUUGAAAUUGAUGAUGUAAAAGAUGACCACCUAGCCUUCCUCCAUUGAUUGUACGUGUUCGUUCGCACUUCGCAUGCACGAACGCGCUGCGCACUGACAAUUAAGAGAAUUUUUUGCAGAAUUCCAGCCAAGUAGUGGAGAUGGAAGGAGACAGUACCCGACAGCAACACCCAAGGCGAUGAUCCAGAUUGUCUGUUUCUGGUAGAUAAAGUAGCCGCCGCUCGAUGGCCGUAAAACGACAUCAGAAACAAUAACAAUUGGCUUGUCUAGGGAGCAAGACCACCCUAUGAAGCCUAUGAAUGAAAUUAGGAGGAUUAAAACCACGAUGCCCAUCACCUACUUGUCCGACGCGGCGGCGUUUGAUUGCCAUUUCCCACAUAGUAACACCGGGAUUGAAAACAACAAUGUGGCUGCCAUCAUAGCUCCGAACACCCAACACCCUUCUGCUCAUCGCCCUUUUGGUUUUCAAUUUACCACUCCUAUCUGAUGGACUAGUAAAUGAGGUAAAUAAUUUAAUGCGUCUCAAUUUGCCUAUCACCCUUGAACACCAUUAUGCCCAACAAAGUUAAAUUUAUACCUUUUUUAUGUAAGAUAUUUUAAAUAAUAAAAUUAUAGAUGUUGUUGUAUU